rnacentral:rRNA from 1 species
GAUGAACGCUAGCUACAGGCUUAACACAUGCAAGUCGAGGGGCAGCAGGGAUUUAGCUUGCUAAAUCCGCUGGCGACCGGCGCACGGGUGCGUAACGCGUAUCCAACUUUCCCGUUACUCAGGGAUAGCCUUCCGAAAGGGAGAUUAAUACGAGAUGGUGUUCUAAUUUCGCAUGUUAUUAGAACUAAAGAUUUAUCGGUAACGGAUAGGGAUGCGUGACAUUAGAUAGUUGGCGGGGUAACGGCCCACCAAGUCUACGAUGUCUAGGGGUUCUGAGAGGAAGGUCCCCCCACACUGGAACUGAGACACGGUCCAGACUCCUACGGGAGGCAGCAGUGAGGAAUAUUGGUCAAUGGCCGAGAGGCUGAACCAGCCAAGUAGCGUGAAGGAUGAAGGUUCUAUGGAUUGUAAACUUCUUUUAUACGGGAAUAACAUCACCUACGUGUAGGUGCCUGCAUGUACCGUAUGAAUAAGCAUCGGCUAACUCCGUGCCAGCAGCCG